rnacentral:misc_RNA from 1 species
CGAAAUGCGAUAAGUAAUGUGAAUUGCAGAAUUCAGUGAAUCAUCGAAUCUUUGAACGCACCUUGCGCCCUUUGGUAUUCCGAAGGGCACACCUGUUUGAGUGUCGUGAAAUCCUCAACCCUCCUCACUUUUUUGUGAUCGGGGCUUGGACUUGGAGGCUUUGCCGGACCCUCAGGGUUUCGGCUCCUCUCAAAUGCAUUAGUGCGUCUUGUUGCGGAUGCGCCUUCGGUGUGAUAAUUAUCUACGCCGUGUCAGUGUGCGCCGCUUCUAUUUGGGAUGCGCUUACAACCGUCCGAAAGGACAAAUCUUCGAUACUUGACCUCAAAUCAGGUGGGACUACCCGCUGAACUUAAGC